rnacentral:lncRNA from 10 species
UGUUAAGUUGUUGUAAACCACAGGAAAAAAACAAAUUCCUUUGUCAAUUGUGUUUCUAACUGUAACUACUCUGGACAUUUUGUUAUUUGUGGAUAAUUCUUAUCUUGUUUUAAUUCUCUUCAAAAGAUAGUUUAUAAUCAUCUAUAGAACUUUGACAGGUGCUCUCAAAUGCAGGUUUCUGAUAACUUUGGAGAUUGUGGCUUUGGAAUAAAGAAAAAACGUACAGGACUCAUGAAGAGCUGAAAUGUUCGUGAAUAUCAAGCAGAAUAACAGUUAAUGAAAUGGAUGGAAUUAAUAGAAAGCUGAAGUAAUCUUUUUUUAACUUUUGCUUAAAACAUUGCUGAUUCUUGUUUUGUUUUUCAGAGUGAAGGAAAUUUUUAUGUUGAGCUAUUUACAGUCUUUAAUAAUUGAGUAAGGUAUACUCUGUGAACAAAAUUUGGAGCAUGUUUGUCUCUCUGCCUGAUUCCUCUAGAAUUUGUAGACUAUCUUUGAGUAUUCUUCACUUAUAGCAAUAUGAUUGUUUGUAUUAGUGCAAUAAGAGUCAAUUUUCUUUUGCAACAGGAUGCAAUUGGAGAAACUGGUUGUUUUACCAAGGCCUUGACUGGAAGGGCCAUUGAACUCCAAAUGCAACCAGAGCUUCAAAUGAUGGCCCAUUUUUACCAGCGAUCCUUAGAUAGGCCUCUGAGGGACAUCUGACUGCCAUUUUCUCAAAACAGUGCCCCUUGUCAGCAGCAAGUGGUCAAGAUCAGUCUUCCUCCUUUUCCUUAUCUUUAUUCUAAUGGUAAUUAAAUGUACUUCUUUAGAGGAGGGAAUGAUAGAGGCAGGAGAUAGCCAAAUGCCUAAACAAAUAGGGAAGGGUCCCCGGAGAACCUCCAACCCACUGAUGUCAUUGUGCACAGGGGGCUUGCCUAAACAUGCCCACAGUGAAAAAUUCCAUCCCUUAACACAUGUGCAGUAAGGGAAAUCAGUCAAUGUGCAGUGGCUCAGACUAAUGGCCCGCAUGCCCACUGGAAGAAUGAGGUGGAGCCACCAUCGUUCCUUAGGCAGGGGAGGAGGCUGGCCUCUUCAGCUUGCAUGUAGUGGCCUGGUAUUCAAUUUGUGAGGUGAAAACUUACAUGCAGGACCCCUCUCUUUGUUGGGAGCUUUCCUUUUGCUUAAUAAAAUUUGUCCUCCUUAC